CAUAGCUAUGGAAUAAAGUUUCUUGAUGUCUAGUAAUAAGUUUGUCUAUGGGCUGUAUGAGUCACAGAUCAAAGAAGAUUGCUUGGUAGCAAUGAGGUGAAAGCGCAAAUUGAAAUAAACAGAAUUCAGCACAAAUUUGGAUUAAACUAAAAGCUUAACUCAGAAAGAGCAGGCCCUAGAACGCACAAGGAUCUGAAAUCUUCACACCAGAAGUGGCCACCAAUUUAUGUUCUGACCACUAAAUAAACAUUAACCUAUCAUUUAAAUAUUACUGGAAAAAAGACACAUUUUGCCAAAAUUUUCAUUUUACACUCCUCAAGACAAUUUACAAGAAAUACUGGACUACCCUAAACAGAUAAUUUCUCUUAUAUAUCAUGCAACCUCACAAAAGGGCCAAAGAAUUUUGGUCCUGAAAACUACUCAGUCCAUGUUACACUACCCUGGAACAGUAACAUAUCUCAAAGGUUUUAGCAAUUGGGAAGCUAGUUAUUCUGUGCCACUAUUAGGCCGUAGCAAUGUGAGUAUGGUCUGACAUUAACAGAAUGCUGCAAUCAAAGUGCUCUGUCUGUCACAGACACAAAAUAUGGUAUAUGAAUUUCAGUGCCAGUGUGAUGCCAGGCAUGUAGGCCGUAUGUCCAAAAGACAAGCAGAUUGUAUCAAACAGCAAGCCCCUUUGGCUGUUGGCAGUCCCAGGCAAGGUACUGACCAUACCUAACCAACCCUUGCUGUCAAAGCCCAAAAUACAGUGUCCAAUUUUAGUUAACAUUCUGAGAUUGGACAGCAUUUGCUAAAUAAACCUGAGUAUGUGAUUAUUACCCAACCAGUUUAGGAUUGUUAGUCGGGCUCAUAAUGUGGUGUAUUUGCAUAGACGGGAUUAACAAAUAUUACUAAACAGAGUCCUGUUACUUGCAGACAUUAAAGGAUAUGAUGCAUGGAAACAGAAUCACCUCCAGGUUUUUCUUCAAGUCAUACACCAUCCUGAGUAUUCUUGGGUCAAUAUUCCUAACAUCACUGAGGGCAUAUCUAUGCCCCAAAGAGUGCAGCUGCUCAGGAAGGAAGCUCAGCUCCACUUUCUCAAGGGCAAUUAAAAAUAGGGAAUAAAGGUUGGUCCAGCCAGCAACACCCAUGAACAAAUU